UAACUGUGUGAAUUAAUGUGAACUGCAUACUGCCUUGAACAUCGACAUCUUGAACGCAUAUUGCGGCCAUGGGUUAGCCCAUGGCCACGCCUGUCCGAGGGUCGGCUUAUAAACUAUCACGACGCCCCAAAAGUCGUGGCUUGGGUCUUGCCAACUGGCGUGAUUUCCUCAGCAUUCUGUUGAGGUGCCAGGUCUAUGGCUUCUCCCUAAUGUGUCCG
rnacentral:rRNA from 1 species